rnacentral:rRNA from 1 species
GACGAACGCUGGCGGCGUGCUUAACACAUGCAAGUCGAACGGAAAGGCCCUGCUUUUGUGGGGUGCUCGAGUGGCGAACGGGUGAGUAACACGUGAGUAACCUGCCCUUGACUUUGGGAUAACUUCAGGAAACUGGGGCUAAUACCGGAUAGGAGCUCCUGCUGCAUGGUGGGGGUUGGAAAGUUUCGGCGGUUGGGGAUGGACUCGCGGCUUAUCAGCUUGUUGGUGGGGUAGUGGCUUACCAAGGCUUUGACGGGUAGCCGGCCUGAGAGGGUGACCGGCCACAUUGGGACUGAGAUACGGCCCAGUCUCCUACGGGAGGCAGCAGUGGGGAAUAUGGCACAAUGGGCGGAAGCCUGAUGCAGCAACGCCGCGUGCGUGAUGACGGCCUUCGGGUUGUAAACCGCUUUCGCCUGUGACGAAGCGUGAGUGACGGUAAUGGGUAAAGAAGCACCGGCUAACUACGUG